GGGUAAGUCUUAUACGACCAGCUCCCUUUACUCCUCCAGGUGCGGAAGCAAGCAAAGGUACAAGGUUGAGCGGUGCGAUAUGAGUAGCUUGCCCCUU
rnacentral:SRP_RNA from 1 species